rnacentral:rRNA from 1 species
AGGAUGAACGCUGGCGGUCUGCUUAACACAUGCAAGUCGAACGGGCGUAGCAAUACGUUAGUGGCGGACGGGUGAGUAACGCGUGAGAAUCUACCUUCAGGACGGAGACAACAGUUGGAAACGACUGCUAACCCCCGAUGUACCGAAAGGGCAAAUAUUUAUAGCCUGAAGAAGAGCUCGCGUCCGAUUAGCUAGUUGGAGAGGUAAAAGCUCACCAAGGCGACGAUCGGUAGCUGGUCUGAGAGGACGAUCAGCCACACUGGGACUGAGACACGGCUCAGACUCCUACGGGAGGCAGCAGUGGGGAAUUUUCCGCAAUGGGCGAAAGCCUGACGGAGCAAGACCGCGUGGGGGAGAAGGCUCUUGGGUUGUAAACCCCUUUUCUCUGGGAAGAACGCAAUGACGGUACCAGAGGAAUCAGCAUCGGCUAACUCCGUGCCAGCAGCCGC